rnacentral:rRNA from 1 species
UUCUCCCCGAAAGCUAUUUAGGUAGCGCCUCGUGAAUUCAUCUCCGGGGGUAGAGCACUGUUUCGGCAAGGGGGUCAUCCCGACUUACCAACCCGAUGCAAACUGCGAAUACCGGAGAAUGUUAUCACGGGAGACACACGGCGGGUGCUAACGUCCGUCGUGAAGAGGGAAACAACCCAGACCGCCAGCUAAGGUCCCAAAGUCAUGGUUAAGUGGGAAACGAUGUGGGAAGGCCCAGACAGCCAGGAUGUUGGCUUAGAAGCAGCCAUCAUUUAAAGAAAGCGUAAUAGCUCACUGGUCGAGUCGGCCUGCGCGGAAGAUGUAACGGGGCUAAACCAUG